CUUCGGUCUCUGUGGGUGUGCCGGACGCCUCUGGCAGGACUAACCCCGGGGCUUUUAUGUCCAACGUGCUGUGCUGUGUGUGCCUGCAGCAUCCUGUCCAAGACAAAGCUACCUUUCUUUCCUCGUGGGAAUGGACUGGCCGGGCUUUGGCAAUCUGGCCCCUCGAAAGUCUUAAGUGACCUCUUCCAGCAGGGGAAGACUGAAGCAAGGGGUGCCAGAAAGAACUGGAGUUUCUGGAGAAUAAAAGCUGGAAGCGUGCCCCCGAAAAUCCCCCCGGGUGGUCAGUGGUCUGACUUGCACGGACCGGUGGCCUUGGCCAGGAGCGGUCCUGCGGGAAGUGCCUUUGCCCAGCCUGUAAUUUUAAUUUCCAUUGGUUGCUUGGCAAAGCCCCUUAGUGCCUGGCAGGAGCAGAGCGGGCUUCCAGGGAGGUAUUCAGCUGGUCAGCGUCAGGAACCAUCCUAACUGAGGCCUCGGUGAGUGACGAAGCUUAUGGAAAAAAAGACCAAAGGCCUCGAGGGAUGUUCUUCUUGAUCCCCCGGGGCAAAGGGAGGUGUCAGCGUCAGGAGCCAUCCUAACUGGGGCCCUGGUAGGUGGUUGGUGUUUCUGCAGUGUUUGGCACAGGACUGGGGGAGAUUUUUACCCAGCUUUCUAAAGCUGUAGAUGAAUAGGAGAGACUGAAUGCACUCCCUUUAUUCACCUUUUCAGAGAGUAUCGGCCAGAAUACGAGCGCCUGAGAAAAACACUGGACAGUUCUCUGCAGGCACAGCUACACAGAGUUUGGCUUCCCGGCGCUGCUGAAAACGUCCUAGAAUCCCACCUGACUGGAGGUUGCUUUCCAUGCUUAGUCAGAAGUUCUGUGUAACCUGAGUUGAAAUAAUCCACAUGUAAAUCUUUGUCUACGGGAGAAAGCUCAAAAUAAACAAAAGAGAGAGCAGCUGGAACACUUGUGGAAGGACAUGGGCAGCGUGUGUGUGCAGGGCAGCACACUGGCAGGACCUGAUGCUUCUGCAAUGGGUCCCUCUGAGCUAAUACUAACAUGAGGAACUCUCGAUGAAGAGCAAGAAGAGAGGGAGAGUGACGCUGAUGGCAUUGACCACGAAGGUAAGGGAAUGAGGUCUAAAAGCUGCCUCUCAAGAAAUCCCCUCUAUAUUUCAUGUCCUGGAUGGACUGUAAGGAGAGCCUAGAAAACAAGCAAACAUUCAGUCACCUGACGUGUCAGAAUCUGUAGCAGAAGCUCAGCUGCAAUGGUCAGUGCAGGGAUAUCACUCUGUAACCUUUGUGAAAGUUCAAUUGUAAAUUUUCUAUUCAAGUAAUUAAUAGGUGUAUAACACACAUAAACCAGAGAACUCGUUAGGCUUGGGGCAUGCAGUGACCUCUGAACCUGAUUGAUGCACAGAUGUGUCCAUCAUCUUUUUGGCCUUACAGUUUCUGCCCCUGGCUCUCUUCCCUUUUCCUGUGACUGUGGUCUUGGAGCAAUCUUCUAAGUUGUUACAGUGUGAUUUUUCUCUUCUAUAGCUCACAGACUUAAUCUUCAUUCUUUCCCUGUUCCACUGAUGGGUAGGAUCACUUAUUUCCUUUGCCCUGUAAUGUAGCUGAAGAUGGAAUAGACUUUCUAUGUUGCUUUGGCUA